ACACAGCAGGUUGAUUAUCAAACUGUACUGCGUUUUUUCCUUAAGUGCUGUACUGGUGCUUGUAGUCUGAGUAUCUAAAUUGCAUGCUGCUCUGUGUGUCUGCUUCAUUACAUCUCAGAGAAAAGUGUUUUUACUUCACUUCAUUAAUUUGACAAUUAAAACUACUAGUUAGAUUGCAGAUUAAGAUUUUGAAAACCUACUGUAUAAAAACAAUAAUAAAAUUUAAUGCAUUGUUAUAAAGUACAUUUAAGUACCUGAAAAUAUAUUUGUUGAGUUAGCUCCACAUCAACCAAUCAAUAAUAGUAAUACUAUAAUAUAAUAUAUAAUAAUAUAACACUGAUAGUCUGUCUGCAUAAUGAGUCCUUUUACUUUUGAUACCUUAAGUACAUUUUGCUGAUAAUACAUAUGUACUUGUUGUAAUUGAGUCUGUCACUGUUAUAUUACUUCUUAAGCAUCUGCAUGUGCUACUUAACAUUGAUCCGAAAACUGACUACCAACAUUGCUACAUUUUUGCAUAUGUGUUGACUGAAUGACCCCCACUGACUCCAUGUUGUGACCUUCACAUAUUCUCCUUUUCCUCUCAGCUUCCAGCAUCUCUGUCACCAGUUGCAGAGGAAAGUGGAACACUUUGAGCAUGAUAUAUUGUGCAGCAACACAAGUUGCUACCUCAUUCUGUGCUUCAACAGCGAAAGAUGCUUCAACAGAGUUGCCAAAUGUCUGAAUUUGACCACAGAGCAAAACAUGGCCCUCAAGAUUCUUAACCCUGAUUGCUAAAACAGAGAUCGACAUGCUCGAAGUUGCAUGUAUUCUUGACCCCAUCAAAAAGAAUGUGGUGCAUUUUUUUUAAAAAAGUUCGAGCAUUGAGGACAAACCUGUCUAGCUUUUGAAAUGCUAGACAGGAGUCUUUAUCAGCUAUUUGUGGACAGAUGCUGGAAGCCACUGUCUCUCAGUGAGAUAUGGCCUAUAGCACAUCAGAAGCCUGAAGCCAGAUAAUAUAAUGCUGAUGAACCAUCAGGGCAGGCCCUUCAGAUUUAAAUGAAGAGACUUUGGGGUGUCCCUUACUGCCUCUGGCAUGAAAAUUCAGCCUCUUUUUCAUUCAGGGCACCAGAAGUCACAUUCUUGUGUCUUGCCAAUCAGCUGUUUGCGGUAAACUGCAAGUACCGGAUGAUAAGGAGCAUCGUUGAGAUUCUGAGCCAGCCAGCUGACCACCCUCUCUUUGCUGGAAAGCAGUUCUUCAAGGUGAACCGGCACUGGGACUACCUUAAAUAGUGGCAGAAGAGAUGUAGGAGCUGACUCAGUUAGAAGAUUGGAGAGCAUUUGUGGGCUUCCUGAAAUGUCUUCUGCACUCUGACCCUGAGCAGAGGAUC